UAAGGAAUAUUGGACAAUGGGCGGAAGCCUGAUCCAGCCAUGCCGCGUGCAGGAGGACGGCCCUACGGGUUGUAAACUGCUUUUGUAAGGGAAUAACCCCCCGGACGCGUCCGGGGCUGAAGGUACCUUACGAAUAAGCAUCGGCUAACUCCGUGCCAGCAGCCGCGGUAAUACGGAGGAUGCAAGCGUUAUCCGGAUUUAUUGGGUUUAAAAGGUGCGUAGGCGGCCUGUUAAGUCAGGGGUGAAAGGUUGCGGCUUAACCGCAGACAUGCCUUUGAUACUGGCGGGCUUGAAUGAAGUUGAGGUAGGCGGAAUGUGGCAAGUAGCGGUGAAAUGCAUAGAGAUGCCACAGAACACCGAUUGCGAAGGCAGCUUACUAAGCUUUGAUUGACGCUGAGGCACGAAAGCGUGGGGAUCAAACAGG
rnacentral:rRNA from 1 species